rfam:Glomerella graminicola M1.001 genomic scaffold supercont1.57, whole genome shotgun sequence.
GGUCUGGUGGUGUAGUUGGUUAUCACGUCAGUCUAACAACCUCCGUCACGAUUCACCUCGGACACGGCUGCAACACACUGAAGGUCUCCGGUUCAAGUCCGGGCUAGAUCA